rnacentral:misc_RNA from 1 species
GAUAUCGAGCAAUUCUCUUCAAGGAAUGAGAGAAUUUGCAGCGGAGAUCGAAAGCUUAGGCAGGUUAAGGCACAAACACUUGAUCAACCUUCAAGGCUGGUGCAAGAACAAAAAUGAUCUUCUCCUAGUGUAUGACUAUGUCCCAAAUGGAAGUCUUGAUUCAUUACUUUACAGACAGAAGAGGGACAUUGUUUUAACAUGGGAACAGAGAUUUAACAUCAUCAAAGGGAUUGCUGCAGGGCUUCUUUACUUGCAUGAAGAAUGGGAACAAUGUGUUGUGCAUAGAGAUAUAAAAUCCAGCAAUAUUAUGUUGGACUCAAAUUUCAAUGCUAAACUUGGAGAUUUCGGUUUAGCAAGGAUGAUGGAACAUGGAAAAGGUCUGCAAACGACAGUUUUGGCAGGGACUAUGGGUUACAUGGCUCCUGAGUGUCUCAGGACAGCCAAGGCCAGCAGGGAAUCAGAUGUGUACAGUUUUGGGGUGGUUGCUUUGGAGAUAGCAUGUGGAAGAAGACCAAUAAACUCCAUGGCUAAUGAAGAAGAAGUGCAUAUGGUGUCAUGGGUUUGGGAGCUCUACGGAAGAGGAAAGCUGCUUGAAGCUGCUGAUCCUAGACUAUGUGGAGAUUUUGAUAAGCAGGAAAUGAAGAGGUUAAUGAUUGUUGGGCUCUGGUGUGCUCACCCAG